GAACUGAAGAGUUUGAUCAUGGCUCAGAUUGAACGCUGGCGGCAGGCCUAACACAUGCAAGUCGAGCGGAUGAAGGGAGCUUGCUCCUGGAUUCAGCGGCGGACGGGUGAGUAAUGCCUAGGAAUCUGCCUGGUAGUGGGGGAUAACGUCCGGAAACGGGCGCUAAUACCGCAUACGUCCUGAGGGAGAAAGUGGGGGAUCUUCGGACC
rnacentral:rRNA from 1 species